rnacentral:rRNA from 1 species
UACGUAGAGGGCAAGCGUUGUCCGGAAUCAUUGGGCGUAAAGAGCGUGUAGGCGGCCUGGUAGGUCAGCUGUGAAAACUCGAGGCUCAACCUCGAGACGCCGGUUGAAACCAUCAGGCUAGAGUCCGGAAGAGGAGAGUGGAAUUCCCGGUGUAGCGGUGAAAUGCGCAGAUAUCGGGAAGAACACCCGUGGCUAAGGCGGCUCUCUAGUACGGUACUGACGCUGAGACGCGAAAGCGUGGGGAGCGAACAGG